GAGAGCUUGCUCUCUGGGUGGCGAGUGGCGGACGGGUGAGGAAUACAUCGGAAUCUACUUUUUCGUGGGGGAUAACGUAGGGAAACUUACGCUAAUACCGCAUACGACCUACGGGUGAAAGCAGGGGAUCUUCGGACCUUGCGCGAUUGAAUGAGCCGAUGUCGGAUUAGCUAGUUGGCGGGGUAAAGGCCCACCAAGGCGACGAUCCGUAGCUGGUCUGAGAGGAUGAUCAGCCACACUGGAACUGAGACACGGUCCAGACUCCUACGGGAGGCAGCAGUGGGGAAUAUUGGACAAUGGGCGCAAGCCUGAUCCAGCCAUACCGCGUGGGUGAAGAAGGCCUUCGGGUUGUAAAGCCCUUUUGUUGGGAAAGAAAUCCAGCUGGUUAAUACCCGGUUGGGAUGACGGUACCCAAAGAAUAAGCACCGGCUAACUUCGUGCCAGCAGCCGCGGUAAUACGAAGGGUGCAAGCGUUACUCGGAAUUACUGGGCGUAAAGCGUGCGUAGGUGGUCGUUUAAGUCCGUUGUGAAAGCCCUGGGCUCAACCUGGGAACUGCAGUGGAUACUGGGCGACUAGAAUGUGGUAGAGGGUAGCGGAAUUCCUGGUGUAGCAGUGA
rnacentral:rRNA from 1 species